GACGAACGCUGGCGGCGUGCUUAACCCAUGCAAGUCGAACGGAAAGGCCCUGCUUUUGUGGGGUGCUCGAGUGGCGAACGGGUGAGUAACGCGUGAGUAACCUGCCCUUGACUUUGGGAUAACUUCAGGAAACUGGGGCUAAUACCGGAUAGGAGCUCCUGCUGCAUGGUGGGGGUUGGAAAGUUUCGGCGGUUGGGGAUGGACUCGCGGCUUAUCAGCUUGUUGGUGGGGUAGUGGCUUACCAAGGCUUUGACGGGUAGCCGGCCUGAGAGGGUGACCGGCCACAUUGGGACUGAGAUACGGCCCAGACUCCUACGGGAGGCAGCAGUGGGGAAUAUUGCACAAUGGGCGGAAGCCUGAUGCAGCAACGCCGCGUGCGGGAUGACGGCCUUCGGGUUGUAAACCGCUUUCGCCUGUGACGAAGCGUGAGUGACGGUAAUGGGUAAAGAAGCACCGGCUAACUACGUG
rnacentral:rRNA from 1 species